CCUCAUAUUGAGAGCUGCAGCAGUGUGUGUGUGUGUGUGUGUGGUAUAUAAGUUUACACAGCUGUGACUUUGAACUUCAAUUCUCUCUCUCUCUCUUCAAACCGCUGCCCUGCAGGUCACAUGUAUUUUUCAGAGCUCAUCACACUGGCUCAUGUUCCUGCUGCUCUCAUUUACUGGGUUCACUGGUAUCAUUUUGAAUUAUGUUCAAAUCUUCUGUGAGUAUUUUUCACAUUAAAAUACUUCCUUUUAUCUUAGUUUAAUAAGUAGAGACAAAGUACUGGUACUUUGACCUUGUGAAGAGUGACUCUGUGAUGCUUUCGAAACAUUGAUCCGUUUGUUUGAGCGACCCGGCAUGCUGACUUCUGGCACAAAUAAAGAAACCCUUUGAAGUUUCUGCCUUCGCCAGUCCUUGUGAGAAGACAUCUCAGCCUUGUAUAAUUGCUCAUCUGACAAGCAUCUCAGGAGUGGAUAUUCCUGGAGACAAGGAGAGCUUGAAUUCGUGCACAUGCACACUCAACAUCUCCUGCCUGUUGCUUUUCUGCCUGCAUUCUCCACCAAGUAAAUGAACUCUAUCUAGGAGCCACUAGCUGCUGGGUAUGUGUCUUGCUGAUUUUUCUCACUUGGCAAUAUGCAGGUAUUCUGAAGGGCUUCGUAAACUAAACAAUACUGAGCCAGAGAAACCCCCGGAAGAACAGCCCUCAAUCUGCAGAGGUCACAGUCAGGACACAGUUUCAUUACAACACUGUAGGAAAAGUAAAGGUCCCAUUACAGCUCAUCCCAGUGAUCCAUGCUACAAUAUUUCACCAUGUUUUGGAGAAAAUGCCACCAGUUUUUAUAGUAUGUCAGUGCAGUGGAGGACUAAUUCACCCAAAAAAUUAAAAUUCAGUCAUGCCGUUCCAAACUAAUAAGACUUCUUUCUGCCGUGAAACACAAAAGGAUAAAUUCUUUAUCCUCAUACUGAUCUUUUGACAAAAAUGUACAUGCUUAUGUACAAUAAAAGCAGCCAAUACACUGUAAAAAUAUUUUAAGAUUAAUGAAGUAUGUUUAAUAUGUUACUGUUUAUGUGAUUAACUGUGAAAUCUACUGGAGUAAAAAUUGUCUGCACACCUUUUUUUUUGUAAUUUGCAAAUGUUCCUUAAUAAUUUGCAAGGUGAACCAAUUUAUUUAUUGGAGUGAUGUUUUGAUAUUUCUAUAUUACUGUUUAUUUACUCUGAUGUUUCAUAAAAUAUAAAUGUAUUUCAUAAUAGCUUUACAUAAUUGUUCAAUGGCUGAUAAGCCAUUUAAUAGCCUAUAAUACAUUUUAAAGGAACAAUUAUCCUAAAAUAAAACAUUAUAUCAUAAAUUACUGAUGUCAUUCCAAUCCUGCAUGAGUUUCUAAGACAGAAUUUUCUAUACGGUGAACCAGUCCUUUAAAUAAAAAUCUCUAUAUUUAAAAACUUCUACCUCUGCUUCAAACAGCAGGUGCCUUUUGUGACAAUAUACCCCAUAUGGCGUGACAAAUUUCUUCACAGUAAUUUACUAUGAACUGCAUAUUAAGUUACUUAAAUUUGAACUGUAGUCAUUUACAGAUGUGAUCUUUUUCAGUAGUUUUUGGGAUCAAUCUGGUGGGCAUUUUGUGUCUAAUUUGAAAAAUUUAACUUUUUUUUUCUUAUUUAGCAGAAUAAAUAAGGCUUUAUUAAUUAAAAACAAACAAACAAACAAAUAAAUAAACAGUUUUGCAUACAAAGCAGUCAUGUAAUAUAGUGUUACACAAAAUGUACUGAUAUUUAUUUGUUUGGAUAACCUGAGGGUGAGCAAAUUAUAACCUUAUUUCCAUGCCUGCUGAUGAUACCAGUCUGCAUGAUUCGAAAUCCAGACCCAUGACAUUUGUUUAUUCAAAUCACUCAAC
ensembl:lncRNA